CUGCAUUCGGCAGACCUGCUCCAGAAAACACGGCAGGCUGCAUUCGGCAGACCUGCUCCAGAAAAUACGGCAGGCUGUAUUUGGCAGACCUGCUCCAGAGAACACGGCAGGCUGCGUUUGGCAGACCUGCUUCAGAAAAUACGGCAGGCUGCAUUCAGCAGACCUGCUCCAGAAAACACAGCAGGCUACAUUCGACAGGCUGAAUUCGGCAGACCUGCUCCAGAAAA
rnacentral:lncRNA from 1 species